UACGAAGGGGGCUAGCGUUGCUCGGAAUUACUGGGCGUAAAGGGCGCGUAGGCGGCCUGCUAAGUCGGACGUGAAAUCCCCCGGCUCAACCGGGGAACUGCGUCCGAUACUGGUGGGCUCGAAUCCGGGAGAGGGAUGUGGAAUUCCAGGUGUAGCGGUGAAAUGCGUAGAUAUCUGGAGGAACACCGGUGGCGAAGGCGGCAUCCUGGACCGGUAUUGACGCUGAGGCGCGAAAGCCAGGGGAGCAAACGGG
rnacentral:rRNA from 1 species